UGUCCCAUGGCUUAGUUGGUUACGGCGUCCGACUGUUAUAUGUCUCAACAAAACAAUUACAUCGGAAGAUCGAGAGUUCGAGUCUCUCUGGGACAG
rnacentral:tRNA from 1 species